ACGUAGGGUGCGAGCGUUAAUCGGAAUUACUGGGCGUAAAGCGUGCGCAGGCGGUGGGAUAAAUAAGAUGUGAAAUCCCCGGGCUCAACCUGGGAAAUGCAUUUGAGACUGUAAGGCUAGAGUGUUGGAGAGGAGGGUGGAAUUCCACGUGUAGCGGGGAAAUGCGUAGAGAUCUGGAGGAAUACCAGUGGCGAAGGCGGCCCCCUGGGCCAAUACUGACGCUCAGGCACGAAAGCGUGGGGAGCAAACAG
rnacentral:rRNA from 1 species